AACGAACGCUGGCGGCAUGCCUAACACAUGCAAGUCGAACGAGACCUUCGGGUCUAGUGGCGCACGGGUGCGUAACGCGUGGGAACCUGCCCUUAGGUUCGGAAUAACUCCCCGAAAGGGGUGCUAAUACCGGAUAAUGUCUUCGGACCAAAGAUUUAUCGCCUUUGGAUGGGCCCGCGUUGGAUUAGCUAGUUGGUAGGGUAAAAGCCUACCAAGGCGACGAUCCAUAGCUGGUCUGAGAGGAUGAUCAGCCACACUGGGACUGGGACACGGCCCAGACUCCUACGGGAGGCAGCAGUGGGGAAUAUUGGACAAUGGGCGAAAGCCUGAUCCAGCAAUGCCGCGUGAGUGAUGAAGGCCUUAGGGUUAUAAAGCUCUUUUACCCGGGAUGAUAAUGACAGUACCGGGAGAAUAAGCUCCGGCUAACUCCGUG
rnacentral:rRNA from 1 species